GAAAUGCGAUACGUAAUGUGAAUUGCAGAAUUCCGUGAAUCAUCGAAUCUUUGAACGCACAUUGCACUCUAUUUCGGUAGAGUAUGCCUGUUUGAGAAUCUAUAGUAUUUAUUUUACCUUUGUGCUUUUUAAGCAUCGAGGUGAAGAAAUGUGAGUGGACCUUAUGGGAACUUUCACGAAAUCUGUAGCUGAACUGAACUAAGAGUGUUUGACUCUUUGCUAAGCAUCAGAAACGUAUUUGAAUGAGAUUUAUCUCUUAUAAUGCUGAUUAUGAUGCAGCAAAGAUUAGCUUAAAGUUACUUUGCAGUUUUAACACCAUUAAAGCCGUAAAACAGCUUGAACCAUGGUCUCAAAUCAGGUAGGAAUACCCGCUGAACUUAA
rnacentral:misc_RNA from 1 species